GGCUCUGUGGCACAAUGGAUAGUGCGUUGGACUUCUAAUUCAAAGGUUGUGGGUUCGAGUCCCACCAGAGUCA
rnacentral:tRNA from 1 species